GACGAAGGUGGCGAGCGUUGUUCGGAAUCACUGGGCAUAAAGCGCACGUAGGCGGCGACGUAAGUUGGGUGUGAAAUCCCUCGGCCUAACCGAGGAACUGCGCCCAGUACUGCGUUGCUUGAGGAUCCAAGGGGUGCAUGGAAUUCCCGGUGGAGCGGUGAAAUGCGUUGAUAUCGGGAGGAACUCCGGCGGCGAAAGCGGUGCACUGGUGGAUUUCUGACGCUGAGGUGCGAAAGCCAGGGGAGCCAAAGCGGG
rnacentral:rRNA from 1 species